CCGUGCUAGGCGGGGAGGUAGCGGUGCCCUGUACUCGCAAUCCGCUGUAGCGAGGCUGAAUUCCUUUUCGAGGUUUUAUAUCUGUGGGGUCCGCCUCAAGUAAGUGGUGUUGACAUCUGGGUCCUGCGCAACGGAAACUCAUGAACCCUGUCAGGUCCGGAAGGAAGCAGCAGUAAGUGAGACCUUCCGUGUGCCGCAGGGCUGCCUGGAUCGAGCUAACUGCUUGAGAAGCGCUCAUGGAUAUAAAAUCGACAAAAGGUGCACGG
rnacentral:SRP_RNA from 1 species